rnacentral:rRNA from 1 species
UACGUAGGGUGCAAGCGUUAAUCGGAAUUACUGGGCGUAAAGCGUGCGCAGGCGGUUCGCUAAGACAGAGGUGAAAUCCCCGGGCUCAACCUGGGAAUGGCAUUUGGGACUGCAAGGCUGGAGUGCGGCAGAGGAGACUGGAAUUCCUGGUGUAGCAGUGAAAUGCGUAGAUAUCAGGAGGAAUACCGAUGGCGAAGGCAGGUCUCUGGGCUGACACUGACGCUCAUGCACGAAAGCGUGGGGAGCAAACAGG